rnacentral:misc_RNA from 1 species
AACAAGGCGUACCUGCGGACCUGCGGAAGGAUCAUUACAGAGUUGCAAAACUCCCACAAACCAUCGCGAAUCUUACCCGUACGGUUGCCUCGGCGCUGGCGGUCCGGAAGGCCCUCGGGCCCCCGGACCCUCGGGUCCCCCGCUCGCGGGGGGCUGCCCGCCGGAGUGCCGAAACCAAACUCUUGAUAUUUUAUGUCUCUCUGAGUAAACUUUUAAAUAAGUCAAAACUUUUAACAAUGG